rnacentral:rRNA from 1 species
GACGUAGGGCGCGAGCGUUGUCCGGAUUUAUUGGGCGUAAAGAGCUCGUAGGCGGCUCGUUGCGUCGGCUGUGAAAACCCGCAGCUCAACUGUGGGCUUGCAGCCGACACGGGCGGGCUGGAGUUCGGUAGGGGAGACUGGAAUUCCUGGUGUAGCGGUGAAAUGCGCAGAUAUCAGGAGGAACACCGGUGGCGAAGGCGGGUCUCUGGGCCGAUACUGACGCUGAGGAGCGAAAGCGUGGGGAGCGAACAGG